AUUAAUUAGCAGGGGAGAACUUGGGUUCAUUCUUACGAGCGAGCAAGCGAGGCGAGCCAGCGAGCGAGUCGAGUGCGUGCAUCGUGGUAGCGCCGUUGGAGGCCGGGCGAGCGCGAAAUUUCUUCUCCUAUCGACUUCUCGCUGUCGUGGAUUAGAUUUUGAGGUGGGUUAAUAUUAUACUUACCGAAUUACACGGAAUUCCUCCUAAGUCUAGUUGUUGUCGAUAUGUAUUCGCCGUUUUUGUAUAGCAUGCUUUAGUUGCUCGAUUCGUUGGUUUACUAUGUUUCUAAAUUUGAAUUGGAGCUUAGAAUAUUAGUUAAAUUAUACAUGUUGGAUUUAGAAUUGACUUAGAAAAAAACUGCCGAUUCUACACCGUCAUAUGUUAAAACUAUCAGAUUUAGCUUUAGGAGCCGUAAUUUGUUUGUAUCGCCGCAGUUUGUGGGCGGUGGAUACCCUAAUUAGUGUAGAAUGCAUUUACGCUCGUACUGAGAUGCCGAACUUAUUUUUAUAGCAGUGUUUAGACUGUUCCGGACUGUCGGGUGCUGUUGUGGUUGACGGUGGACCCAAUUUACUGCUUUUGCAUCAGAUUGUGCCGAUGGCACGUAAGUUUCGUUGUUAGACCCUGUUUACUUUGACCAUAGCCUGUGAGAGCCUGAUUGAGCUCGGCAGAGACACGCUUGCAUACUCGGUUGGGUAGCGCCCACGAGUGCCACUCCGGAGUCGGGCUUAGUACUUUUGCGUUGAUGUCGGUUUGUCCUAUUUGGACUUGCUCUCCACUGACGACCUAGCGUGGUGGCAGUUAGUGUAGUUUCGACAGGCGGGACGGGUGUGUUCACAGUCCCUAAUGAGAUUGGGUUAGAGAUUGCAUUAUUUUACAGAUAGUUAGUGUUGGAUCAUGAUAGUAUAGUGGCAUAUAGCUGUAAAUUGUUUUCAGUUCAUUUACUAUCAUUGAGCAUACAUCUGUGGACUUAGUGGAUGAGCCGUUGAGGUCGGUAGCAGUACCUACUGAGGAAUGCUUCUUUUUGCAGUAGUUCUCACGCACAGUUGUGGAUCUUUUGUAGAGCUAUUUUCUUCGGCUGUUGGUGUGGUAGAGACCGAUCGUAGAAAGGGUGUUGCGAGUUAGAGCUCUUCCCGACGAGUUACAGAGCUAGAGGAGCACCAGCUACAGGUAGUUGAAGUUUUGGUUCUUAUACAUACUGAUGUUUGUAUCUCGCUGGAACGAGUGAUUUUGUAUACUUUAAAUAUAUAUUAUUAUAUAUGAUAUUACAUAUUUUUUGUAUAAUAUGUUUUAAAUAUAUAUUUUUUUAAAUAUAAACUAGAAUAAUAAUAAAUAUAGUAUGAUAAUUAUUAUUUAUUAAUAAUAUAUAAUAUAUAAAAUAAAAAAAAUAUUAAUUUAUCUUCAUAACUUAUUUUUUUCUAUCAACCAAACAACCGUAACGGAAAACUUUUUUUUUUUUUCCUGCAAACCAAACGCUAAAGAACGUAAAACUUCUUUUUCUUCGAAAAUUUUUUUCCACCGAAAAUAUUUUUUCAUAGUUUUACGUGGAACCAAACACACCCUU
rnacentral:lncRNA from 1 species